UGAAUCAAGAUCUGAAAUCUUGAUAUAUUCAUCUAGGAACAACUCUACGCAUGAUCUGUGAAGAAGUUUGGCCGAGACCUCAACCCGAAGGCGGAGAUCCGAGAACGGUGUUCGCUGGCUGCUGGUCGAGGUAGAGGAGCGUUUGAGAGCUGUACAGUCACAGAGGGGGUCGUUCCGAAGCGUCAGUCCCUUUUCG